rnacentral:rRNA from 1 species
UGUGUCCUACGGGAGGCAGCAGUAGGGAAUCUUCCACAAUGGGCGCAAGCCUGAUGGAGCAACACCGCGUGAGUGAAGAAGGGUUUCGGCUCGUAAAACUCUGUUGUUGGAGAAGAACGUGCGUGAGAGUAACUGUUCACGCAGUGACGGUAUCCAACCAGAAAGUCACGGCUAACUACGUGCCAGCAGCCGCGGUAAUACGUAGGUGGCAAGCGUUAUUCGGAUUUAUUUGGCGUAAAGCGAG